rnacentral:ncRNA from 1 species
GUACAAAAUCUCCUUAUGCAACUGGAGCUGAUUUCCAGUCAUGCUACAGCGUUAAAGGAAAUACAUAUUCACCUUCACAGGAAAAACAGCUCCCCAGCUCACAGUACAGCUUGGCACCUUUCCUAGCAGGCAACCUGGACUAGUGUUUCCCUUUAACACUUCAUGAAGCUGCUGACAGCUUGCUUGCAGGGGUGUUGUCUGACCUCUAAAAGGUCUUCUGGAGCAUGACUUUGGUUCUAUAUUGCUGGNUUUCAGAAGCGGGGUCAUGAUUCAGAGGGAUGGCCAGGCGCAUUCAUACUGUGCCGCUUGAGGUGAAAUCCUUGGACCAACACAAGGCAACCUAGAGUGAAAGCAUUUGCCAAGACUGUUUCAAUUAAUCAAGAACCAAUGUCAGAGGAUCGGAUACUGGGGUGGUUCCAACCACAAAUCAUGAGGACUGGCAACAGGAUUUUGUGGGGAGUCUCCGUCAUGCGAUCAGUCAUCGCGUUC